CCUACGGGAGGCAGCAGUAGGGAAUAUUGCACAAUGGGGGAAACCCUGAUGCAGCAACGCCACGUGUGGGAAGAAGCAUUUCGGUAUGUAAAGCCCUAUCAGCAGGGAAGAUAAUGACGGUACCUGACUAAGAAGCCCCGGCUAACUACGUGCCAGCAGCCGCGGUAAUA
rnacentral:rRNA from 1 species